rnacentral:lncRNA from 1 species
GAUACUAGGAAACCUUCCUGAAAAAUACCUAAGACCAUCUUUGUUUGGUUUUCUAAUAUGUUGGACCUUUUUCUUUCUUCCCAGAACUAAUGUAAGGAGCACAGCUAAGUGGUUGCUGGUUUUAAUCAACGUGAGAACUACUUUCACCCUCUUCAUUUACCAUAAGAAUAAGCACAGUAGAUAAGAGGAAAUGUUCAUCCAACCUAAUGCCAAAUCCAGCCAGUGGCCAACAAUGGAUGUCAAGGAAAGAACCCUGGGCUACAAGAGUGAUCACUUCUUACAGAAUACAAUGGGAGAUGAAAACUGGAGCACUGAUAGGAAGAGAGGGAAGAGGAAGAAGUAGGACCAGGAGAAACAUAAAGGGAGAAUGCCUAGGACAAAUGUGCGAGGAGACAGAAUGCGGAACAUUGCUAGAGAUAAAUGGAACUCAAGGACAAAGCAGCUUUUCCAGUUAGAAAGAGCACGAUGUCUGCUAACAGCAGGUAAUGAUGUCACAAGUGUGGGUAGACACGGAGGAUCCUGAAGAAAUAUAACGUCAAACAGGUUCCAGUGAAAUAAGUAACCACCACCGCCCCAGUUGCCGCAGCGUUAAUAUCAGAGGGACCAAUCCUUUCUGCUAGAAACAGUCCCUCAAGAGAUAGGAGCAUUACCAGAGAGUGUUUACAGGUAAAAUGCUGAAUGCUCACAAUUUGUCUACAUGGUUGUUGCAUAUGUGUGUUAUGUGCAAUGCAGUGAUGUGUAAAUGUAUGCUUUACUGGAAACUAAAAAAUACCACUGCAACAGUACAGCUAGUGAGAAUGACUCCAACAAGUUCCCUUUUACAUUUAUUAGCUUAUCUAUUUUACAGCAACAGUGCAAAUAGCUUAGAGUGUCUCUAGUGGCACAGAAGCAGCAAAACUUCAUUUAUUUAUAACAACACAUUGCUAAAACAUCGCAUGACUUUUCUUCAAGUGUCAACGAUACAAGUGUUUGUGCACUGAAACAUUUGCUUAUUAUUUUCUAAUUUGAACCGUGUAAACUUUUAACACAUUAUUUCCACUUACAAAUCUUAUGUUAUGCUACCUAUAACCUUAAAAGACCACACAGAUUUCAGAGAAGGAAGAACAGCUCCUGAGUGAUUAUUGAAAGCAGGAGCAAAGAAACUGGUUGAUUUAGGAACAACAAAUGCAUUCCUUCCCUGUAGAUCCUUUCCCCUUUUGACAUUCUUACGCACUAAGCACAUGAAGUAUUCUUAAUGUGAGAGUUCACAUACAUGCAGCUCAGAGCAGACCGCCUAACACAGCUGAAAUACCUGAGUCACAUCCCACAUUACAAACAAAUUGUAUGGAGAAUGGAGCAAAAUAAUCUGCAGAGUCACAUAAAACACUCCUUUUGCUAUUGUACGGUAUGGAAGCUUAACUUUGACAAGAUACACUUUCUAUAUAAUGGCUGGUUGAUAUAUAAAUCUCAUGUGCU